rnacentral:rRNA from 1 species
CCUACGGGAGGCAGCAGUGAGGAAUAUUGGUCAAUGGCCGGAAGGCUGAACCAGCCAUGCCGCGUGAAGGAAGAAGUCUUUCGGGUUGUAAACUUCUUUUAAGAGGGAAGAGAAGAAGAGGGUACCACUUGAAUAAGCCACGGCUAACUACGGGCCAGCAGCCGCGGUAAUACGUAGGUGGCAAGCGGUGUCCGGAUUUACUGGGUGUAAAGGGCGUGCAGGCGGGAAGACAAGUCAGAUGUGAAAUCCCGCGGCUCAAACGCGGAACUGCAUUUGAAACUGUUUCGCUUGAGUACCGGAGAGGUCAUCGGAAUUCCUUGUGUAGCGGUGAAAUGCGUAGAUAUAAGGAAGAACACCAGUGGCGAAGGCGGAUGACUGGACGGCAACUGACGGUGAGGCGCGAAAGCGUGGGGAGCAAACAGGAUUAGAUACCCUUGUAGUC